UUUGUAAUUUUCCCAAAUUUCGUGUGCGGAAUCAUUGCGAAUGUUGGAAGAGUUUUAUUAAAAAAGUGAUGGAUAUGGCUCUUGAAAAUGGUCAGAGAAGUGUUAGAGAGAUGGCAAGAGAGCUCGACAUCUCUCGGGAGGCCGUUCGAAUGAUUUUGGUGGAUAUUUUGGGAAUUAUACGUUCUAAAAUGAAUCCGUGUUUAUAACCAAUUAUUUAAAAAAAUGUAGAAUGUGAAGUUGAAUAUAAAAAUAUAGCUUCUUCACAAAUUUAUUUGUUUUAAUACCGAAAAAUAAAUUAUACAACCAGCGAAUAUAAUUAAUCAUGCAUAUAUAAGUUGGAAGCUUUUAAUCGUUGAAUUUAAUAGUGACCAACAAUUAUAGUUAUUGCUUAAACCAGCGCUUUACCCCGCGUUGAUUGGAAUGUAGUAAGAGAGCUGCAACACUAACUUGUUUUUUGUAUCUAAAAGUGAACUUAUAAUAUAUUGUACCAACUGGCAAAUCACCAUGUUUAUUCAUAAUUUCUCCGUAUUAUCUGACUUUAACCUGGAGUUGCUUCGCGUUAACUGAACUAAAAGUUAAAGCUUCGUUUGGCUGAGAAACGAAAAACCUAGUUAUAACAAAAUGGCGUCAUUAAGAGCUAUUUUUCGAUAAAGCUUUUAGCUAGUAAAACAAAUAUUAAAUGUAUGAAUAUGCUUUGGCAAGCUAUCUUCGAAUGCUGCAUAAUCUGCUCUAUUACAAAAAUGUAUUGUACUUUGUUAUUUUAGUAAUAUGAACAUUAAAUAACGAUUCAAGUUUUGGUAUAUGUGUACGUUAUUUAUAUUCAAAAUUUAUAAUUUGAAAGUUCAAAGUAAUUAAAUUGUGUAAACAUGUUUACAACAACAAUAGUAAUAACAUUUAUGAAUUCUCUAUUAUGCAAGGCUAACAUCGAUAAUACUCACUAUUUUUUGAAUUUUGGAGUUUAAAUUGAUAAAAUAUGUAUCUUUGAAUAAAAUACAUAUACAUCAUUUUUUAUUUAUAUUGUUGCGCUUUCCACUAUUUUAUAAUUAUCCUUUGCUCAAUAAACAUAUCUAAUAUGUUGAAAAUUUAUUUAUUAAAUGGUUAUUUUAUAAUAUAAGAGUUUUUGCCUAUAAUCCUCUUUUACAAUUCAGAAAACUAUUUUUAAAUAGAAAUGCGGUAAUAUAUUAUAAUAAAACUUGUAGGUAAAAAUCUUAGCACGCAUGCGUAUCGAUUAUUCAUAUAAGAACAAUUGUUGUGUUUAUUUGUAAAGAACAUAGAUUGUGAUAGAUAGAUGAACAAGAGAACGUGUAUCACAUUCUCUGCAUGAACUUUCUCUAUAUUUCUAUGUUCUCUGCUGCUUCGGACUGGGCGGCAUCUAGCGACAAACGCUGCUUCUCGAAAUAAAUGUAUGUGGAAAAUAAAAAAAUAAGAAAUAUACUUUUUUCUAAAAAUAUAUUUCUUGAAAUAAAAGAUUUCACAUUUUAAGACUUCAAUAAUUGUAACAUAAUUUUUAUAUACCAAUUAAAUAAAUAAAUUUAAUAUGAA